AUGAACGCUGGCUACAGGCUUAACACAUGCAAGUCGAGGGGAAACGACGGGGAAGCUUGCUUCCCCGGGGCGUCGACCGGCGCACGGGUGAGUAACGCGUAUCCAACCUGCCUCUGACUGAGGGAUAACCCGUCGAAAAGUCGGCCUAAUACCUCAUGGUAUCGUCUGCGGGCAUCCAACGACGAUUAAAGAUUUCAUCGGUCAGGGAUGGGGAUGCGUCUGAUUAGCUUGUUGGCGGGGUAACGGCCCACCAAGGCUACGAUCAGUAGGGGUUCUGAGAGGAAGGUCCCCCACAUUGGAACUGAGACACGGUCCAAACUCCUACGGGAGGCAGCAGUGAGGAAUAUUGGUCAAUGGGCGAGAGCCUGAACCAGCCAAGUAGCGUGCAGGAAGACGGCCCUAUGGGUUGUAAACUGCUUUUAUGCGGGGAUAAAGUGAGGGACGUGUCCCUCAUUGCAGGUACCGCAUGAAUAAGGACCGGCUAAUUCCGUGCCAGCAGCCGCGGUAAUACGGAAGGUCCUGGCGUUAUCCGGAUUUAUUGGGUUUAAAGGGAGCGUAGGCCGUGGAUUAAGCGUGUUGUGAAAUGCAGGUGCUCAACGUCUGCACUGCAGCGCGAACUGGUCCACUUGAGUGUGCGCAACGCAGGCGGAAUUCGUCGUGUAGCGGUGAAAUGCUUAGAUAUGACGAAGAACUCCGAUUGCGAAGGCAGCUUGCGGGAGCACAACUGACGCUGAAGCUCGAAAGUGCGGGUAUCGAACAGG
rnacentral:rRNA from 1 species